rnacentral:rRNA from 1 species
GUCCUACGGGAGGCAGCAGUAGGGAAUUUUCGUCAAUGGGCGCAAGCCUGAACGAGCAAUGCCGCGUGAACGAGGAAGGUCUUCGGAUCGUAAAGUUCUGUUGAAGGGGAAAAAGAGCGGAGAGAGGAAAUGGUCUCCGAUUGAUAUUACCCUUCGAGGAAGUCACGGCUAACUACGUGCCAGCAGCCGCGGUAAUACGUAGGGGGCAAGCGUUAUCCGGAAUUACUGGGUGUAAAGGGUGCGUAGGCGGCACGCCAAGUCAGUUGUGAAACCCGUAGGCUCAACCUACGGCUUGCAAUUGAAAC